AGAGUUUGAUCAUGGCUCAGAACGAACGCUGGCGGCAUGCCUAAUACAUGCAAGUCGAACGCUUUGGGGUUUCGGCCCCAAGGGAGUGGCGCACGGGUGAGUAGCGCGUGGGAACCUGCCCUGUUGUGGGGGAUAACCGAGGGAAACUUCGGCUAAUACCGCAUGCGCCCCGGUGAUGAGCCGGGGGAAAGAUUUAUCGC
rnacentral:rRNA from 1 species